rnacentral:rRNA from 1 species
AGAGUUUGAUCCUGGCUCAGAUUGAACGCUGGCGGCAUGCUUUACACAUGCAAGUCGAGCGGCAGCGCGGGGCAACCUGGCGGCGAGCGGCGAACGGGUGAGUAAUAGAUAGGAACGUGUCCGGGAGUGGGGGAUAACUAGCCGAAAGGUUAGCUAAUACCGCAUAUUCUGUGCGCAGGAAAGCGGGGGACUGGUAACGGCCUCGCGCUCGCGGAGUGGCCUAUCUCCGAUUAGCUAGUUGGUGAGGUAAAGGCUUACCAAGGCGACGAUCGGUAGCUGGUCUGAGAGGAUGAUCAGCCACACUGGGACUGAGACACGGCCCAGACUCCUACGGGAGGCAGCAGUGGGGAAUUUUGGACAAUGGGGGCAACCCUGAUCCAGCCAUGCCGCGUGCGGGAAGAAGGCCUUCGGGUUGUAAACCGCUUUUAUUCGGGAAGAAGGAGUCCGGGUUAAUACCCUGGAUGACGGACGGUACUGGAUGAAUAAGCACCGGCUAACUACGUGCCAGCAGCCGCGGUAAUACGUAGGGUGCGAGCGUUAAUCGGAAUUACUGGGCGUAAAGCGUGCGUAGGCGGUUGGCAAAGUCAGCUGUGAAAGCCCCGGGCUUAACCUGGGAAUGGCGGUUGAAACUAGUCGACUUGAAUCUGGCAGAGGGGGGUGGAAUUCCACGUAGCAGUGAAAUGCGUAGAGAUGUGGAGGAACACCGAUGGCGAAGGCAGCCCCCUGGGCUGAGAUUGACGCUCAGGCACGAAAGCGUGGGGAGCAAACAGGAUUAGAUACCCUAGUAGUCC